GCGGGUGUGGCGGAACUGGCAGACGCGCUGGAUUUAGGUUCCAGUGCCGCAAGGCGUGCAGGUUCGAUUCCUGUCACCCGUA
rfam:Leuconostoc citreum KM20, complete genome.